rnacentral:rRNA from 1 species
GGGGAAUCUUCCGCAAUGGGCGAAAGCCUGACGGAGCAACGCCGCGUGAGUGAAGACGGCCUUCGGGUUGUAAAGCUCUGUUAUACGGGACGAAUAAUCUUGUGGUUAAUACCCAUAAGAAGUGACGGUACCGUAAGAGAAAGCCACGGCUAACUACGUGCCAGCAGCCGCGGUAAUACGUAGGUGGUAAGCGUUGUCCGGAAUUAUUGGGCGUAAAGGGCGCGCAGGCGGCUUCUUAAGUCUGUCUUAAAAGUGCGGGGCUUAACCCCGUGAUGGGAUGGAAACUGGGAAGCUCAGAGUAUCGGAGAGGAAAGCGGAAUUCCUAGUGUAGCGGUGAAAUGCGUAGAUAUUAGGAGGAACACCAGUGGCGAAAGCGGCUUUCUGGACGAAAACUGACGCUGAGGCGCGAAGGCCAGGGGAGCGAACGGGAUUAGAUACCCCGGUAGUCCUGGCCGUAAACGAUGGGUACUAGGUGUAGGAGGUAUCGACCCCUUCUGUGCCGGAGUUAACGCAAUAAGUACCCCGCCUGGGGAGUACGGCCGCAAGGUUG